rnacentral:misc_RNA from 1 species
AUGCCAUCAAAGAAUUGUGAGAGCUCCAUAGAUGUGGGCUGAGUGGUAAAAAAUGCAGCUUCAUCUAAAGGAGGAGAGGGAAGCCCUUCUUCUUCUUCAUAAUCAUCUUCUUCUUUUACUGCAGCAGACUUGUUUUUGGAAUCUGGUGUGACUUCUGCACCUUGAACAGCAGCAGUAGCUUUUACCCACACGUCCACCAUUUCUUUCCACUCCAUGAUAAGAACUCGAGCAAGAUGACGGAUGCGCUUGGAUCCAUGCUUUCGAAGGCCAUUAACAGCUUUGCCAAUCUCAGUUGCCUGAUAAAGGGAGAAAAAUCCACAAAAAUUAAGUCCAGAAUUUCCCCAGAAACUAAAACAACUACAAAA